rnacentral:rRNA from 1 species
CCUACGGGUGGCAGCAGUGGGGAAUAUUGCACAAUGGGGGGAACCCUGAUGCAGCGACGCCGCGUGGGUGAGGAAGUACUUCGGUAUGUAAAGCCCUAUCAGCAGGGAAGAACAUGACGAUACCUGACUAAUAAGCCCCGGCUAAAUACGUGCCAGCAGCCGCGGUAAUACGAAGGGGGCAAGCGCUAUUCGGUUAUACUGGGUGGAACGGGAGCGGAGACGGGGUGCCAAGACUGGGGGGAAAGGCCGGGGGUCAAACCCGGGAAUGCAUUGGAUACUGGCAAGCUGGAGUGACAGAGGGGCAAGCGGAAUUCCAUGUGAAGCGGUGAAAUGCGUAGAUAUAAGGAAGAACACCAGUGGCGAAGGCGGCUUGCUGGGCGGAAACUGACGUUGAGGGUCGAAAGCGUGGGGAGCAAACAGGAUUAGAUACCCUAGUAGUC